rnacentral:rRNA from 1 species
CAUGGAGGGUGAGAAUCCCGUUCGGUUGAUCAGAUUCGCUUUACGAUACGUUAUCAAAGAGUCAAGUUGUUUGGGAUUGCAGCUUAAAAUGGGAGGUAAAUUUCUCCUAAGGCUAAAUAACGGCGAGAGACCGAUAGCGAACAAGUACCGUGAGGGAAAGAUGAAAAGAACUUUGAAAAGAGAGUAAAAUAGUACGUGAAAUUGUUGAAAGGGAAACGAUUGAAGUCAGUCGUACCGACGAGAAAUCAACUCUUCGAGUGCGGGCUUGUGGGCAUGCGGGUGUCUCGUUGUUUGCAACGUCUGUGCUUUUUGGGUGUACUUUUUCGUAUGGUAGGCCAACAUCAGUUUCGAUUAUCAUAAAAUGACCGGAGGAAUGUAGCUUCGAUUUCGGUUGAAGUGUUAUAGCCUUUGGUAGAUGUGGUGAUGGAGACUGAGGAUUGCAACGAAUACCCUUUGGGCUAUCCGUCUGACCUCUGAAAGUUGCUUAGGUGCCGAAAGCGUGCUUACGGUCAUUUAACGCGACGGUCAAAAGGUUAGAACGUGAUUACAUUCGUUAAGGAUGUUGACGUAAUGG